rnacentral:tRNA from 1 species
UAGAAUGAAGCAUUUACGUUGAUGCAAAUCACUUACACUGAUUAGAAGGUGUUGCCCAUUCUAU